UACGGGGGGAGCAAGCGUUGUUCGGAUUUACUGGGCGUAAAGGGCGCGUAGGCGGUCAGCACAAGUCAGUUGUGAAAUCUCCGGGCUUAACCCGGAAAGGUCAACUGAUACUGUGCGACUAGAGUGCGGAAGGGGCAACUGGAAUUACCGGUGUAGCGGUGAAAUGCGUAGAUAUCGGUAGGAACACCAGUGGCGAAGGCGGUCUCCUGGGGCAUUCUUGACGCUGAGGCGCGAAAGCUGGGGGAGCGAACGGG
rnacentral:rRNA from 1 species